CAACCCUCAAGCUCUGCUUGGUAUUGGGCCUCGCCUGGAAGGGCGUGCUCUAAAAUCAGUGGCGGUGCCAUCUGGCUCUAAGCGUAGUAAAUCUCUCGCUAUAGGGUCCCAUGGUUAUCUGCCAACAACCCCCAAUUCUUUCA
rnacentral:misc_RNA from 1 species